rnacentral:ncRNA from 1 species
AUAUUGAAUGGUGGGGAAUCAGUGCGAAAUUCACUGGCUGUACCUGCAACCGUAAAGUCGGAGCGCCGCCCAGUAUAGUCCGCUGUUGAACAAUGGCCAGGAAAAGUCUAGUUCUACAAUUAAAAU